rnacentral:lncRNA from 1 species
AACAAUUGAACUUUUGGAAUUGGAUAGAUGGUGGAACUUUCUUUUGCCGUUGGUGAGUGCAGUCUGUUGUCUUACCAUUUUCUAUACCAUAAAGGAAAGACAUAGGAGUACAUCAAAGCCUUUAUAGGAAUACUGGAACAUAUUAUUAAUCUAUUAUAUGUGCAGGAAACUCGUUCUCACCAUUUCUCUUUUCGGUAACAUCUCUGCUCCGUUCCCUGAACAGUGUUAUCAAAGGCGAAAAGCGCAAAAAAGCUCUAAGGUCUAUUGGGGCUUUAAGCGCAAAGCGGAGAUAAAGCAUGGGCUUUAAUGAAAAAAGGCGCAACUAGAGAAAAAGUAAAAAUAUGUAUAUGUAAUCCAAAACCAAUAAUCAUAAGC